ensembl:lncRNA
CUCUCUCUCACCCUCUCUCUACCUCACGUUUCUUCUCUCGCUCUCGCUCUCGCUCUCUCGUCUCUACCUCCAGAAACGUUCUUGGAAAGCCGUCAGCAGGCUCAUCCGAAGCAUCUGUCCAUUUCGACGUCGCACCAUGAGGAACUCUGAAACGUGGACCCCGGUUUUGAGGCCUACCUCGUACACCGGCGGGCUGUUUACUCCACAAGGAGUCCGUCCUGUAUUCGUGGACAGGCCUACAUGGCCUCCAUUUUAAAGGGGUGAUAUUAUGCCACCAGGAGGCCAGCGUGCCCUGCUGACAGAGAUGAGCCCUCAGAAGAGAGAGACUACAGCUCGCUCAAACUGAAGGCUGACGUCGUCGUUGAUUCUAUCUCCUGCGCUGAAAUGUUCGACCGGCUCAGGGCAGAUCAACAUUUCAAUGGAUAUGUCGCUGUCCAUCAGGCAGCUUGGCGGGCAGAGUGGACAGGAGUCUAUUUCCUGAGGCCAUAUUCUCUGUGUUUCCUACUCCGCUCUACUGCGUGCUUGCAAGGAUACAGACGAGACCAGGUCCACAUCACAUCAAUAGUACAGGAACAGGUUAAAUAAGAUACAUUUAGAUGCAUUGAGAACAUUGUGUUACAAAUGUUGUUGUUUUUGUCUUAUCAUUUAUUGAGCAAAAGUCUGAACCGAGAUGGACCAAACAGCGACUGGUUAUUUGCUGCCACCUUAAUGAAAAAUUGCCCCACUGUCCAGCGUUACUUCUCCUUUAGAACGAAAAUAUAGCAUAAGCAUACCGCAAAUGCUGUCAGUACUCUUUGCAUACAACGUAGAGCCAGCAUACCCCAGCAGGGGGCAGCACCUACCAGAUUAACGUCUGGCAUAAAGGGUUUUCACGUCCGAUGUCAAUGCAAAGCCAGGGUAGCAUUUUAUAAAUCGAGUUGACCUAUGAAAACAAUAGAAUUAUGCCUAUGAAUAGUUUUGUCCAACUGAUGAUGUGUUUUGUAAGAUUAUUAAAAAAAACGGAUUAUGCAUACAAAUUAAGAAUUCUCUUACUUAUUUAUUUUAUUUUAUGUGCCUUACACCAAACCUUCUUUGUCAAUGUAAAUG